CCCUUGUCAUAUGCAUAUUUUUAAUGGAAUGACAUCAGAGUGUUUUAGAAGGAUUUUGCUGUUUAUUUGGUUGUUUGAUGGUGCGAGAAGCUAAAAUCCCUACCUGCUGAGAUGACGCGAGGCAAAGGAUGCAGGCGCCGUGGAGAAGUGUUGGGUUACUAUUUACCUUCUGAGGAUUCAUCAGAAGGAGGAUCACGGGCUUCCAGACCGCAGUUGACCUUGGGUAACUGAAGCUGCAGAAUGCAAAAUUGCAGGACCAAUUCGCAUUAAAUAUGAGAAGAGAUUACACAAAGGCAUGAAGACCAAUAGGCUAGGAGUACUGGAAGCAAAUUUAGAGUCUACCACUGUCUACCAUCAUCUUAAAUGAUCAAUAUCAUUCCCACAUGCAAAAUAUACAAAUUCAACCAAAAGGUCAACAAAAACCUUAAUCCAUUCUAGCAAAGAGUUCUUAAUCUCAAGACCUGUGAACUACAGAAGAUAUCUGCUUCUUACACACACCAUCAGUGGUGUGAGAGAGGGAGAGAAGAUUACUGCUAUAAAUCCAUUCAAAAAUAAGAAAAGAACAGGAGAUACAUAGGACUCACUGGUUUAAAAAUUCUGAAAUCCAGGCUG